rnacentral:ncRNA from 1 species
GUGAAGCCGCAAACGCGGUGAUCCCGGACGAGAUGCGUGUCGUACCCGGCCUGACAAGACGACCGCCGU